GACGAACGCUGGCGGCGUGCUUAACACAUGCAAGUCGAACGAAGAGCGAUGGAAGCUUGCUUUUAUCAAUUUUAGUGGCGCACGUGUGAGUAACGCGUAAUCAACCUGCCCUUCAGAGGGGGACAACAGUUGGAAACGACUUCUAAUACCGCAUACGAUCUAAUCUCGGCAUCGAGGAUAGAUGAAAGGUGGUCUCUACACGUAUGCUAUCAUUCAAGGAGGGGAAUGCGGCUGGUUAGCUAGUUGGUGGGGUAACGGCCGAUCAAAGGGAAGAUCAGUAGCCGGUCUGGAAGGAGGGACGGCCACAUUGGGACUGAGACACGGCCCAGACUCCUACGGGAGGCAGCAGUGGGGAAUCUUUCGCAAUGGAGGAAAGGCUGACGGGGGAACGCCGCGUUGGUGAGGACGGCCUUCGGGUUGUAAAGCUCUGUUAAUCGGGACGAAAGGACUUCUUGCGAAUAGAGGGAAGGAUUGACGGUACCGGAAUAGAAAGCCACGGCUAACUACGUG
rnacentral:rRNA from 1 species